rnacentral:rRNA from 1 species
UACGAAGGGGGCUAGCGUUGUUCGGAAUUACUGGGCGUAAAGCGCACGUAGGCGGACAUUUAAGUUGGAGGUGAAAGCCUUGGGCUCAACCCAAGAAUUGCCUUUGAUAACUGGAUGUCUCGAGACCGGGAGAGGUGAGUGGAAUUCCGAGUGUAGAGGUGAAAUUCGUAGAUAUUCGGAAGAACACCAGUGGCGAAGGCGGCUCACUGGCCGGUUCUGACGCUGAGGUGCGAAAGCGUGGGAGCAACAGG